rnacentral:rRNA from 1 species
UACGAAGGGGGCUAGCGUUGCUCGGAAUUACUGGGCGUAAAGGGAGCGUAGGCGGAUAGUUUAGUCAGAGGUGAAAGCCCAGGGCUCAACCCUGGAAUUGCCUUUGAUACUGGCUAUCUUGAGUAUGGGAGAGGUUAGCGGAACUCCGAGUGUAGAGGUGAAAUUCGUAGAUAUUCGGAAGAACACCAGUGGCGAAGGCGGCUAACUGGCCCAUUACUGACGCUGAGGCUCGAAGACGUGGGGAGCGAACGGG